UGCGUAGGCGGAAUAGUAAGUCAGUGGUGAAAGCCUGCGGCUCAACCGUAGAAUUGCCAUUGAUACUGUUAUUCUUGAGUAUAGUUGAGGUGGGCGGAAUGUGUAAUGUAGCGGUGAAAUGCAUAGAUAUUACACAGAACACCAAUUGCGAAGGCAGCUCACUAAACUAUCACUGACGCUGAGGCACGAAAGCGUGGGGAGCAAUCAGGAUUAGAUACCCUGGUAGUCC
rnacentral:rRNA from 1 species